rnacentral:lncRNA from 1 species
AUGAGACAGGUGCUGCCUUCAGAGCUACCUCAUCUCCAGGCAUGGACACAGCCCACCACCACCAGCAAGAGCUGGCCUGGGCCUCACCUCCCUCAAGACCCACCCUUAAGACUCAGACUCCUGCAUCCAGAUGACAAAUGGGAACUGGACACCAAACGGGGCCAACAUGCCACGCUCUUCAGAGAGGCAGAGUGCAAAGAAGCAAACUGCCAGGUGCAGUGGUACACACCUGUAAUCCUAGCGUUUGGAAGGCUGAGGCAGGACGAUCUCAUAAGUUCCAGCCUAGCCUACACAACUUCAUGGCUUAGCAAGGCCCUGUCUCUAAAGAAAAAAUAAAGGGUUCAGGUUGUAGUUCAGUGUGAAGGCCAUGGAUUUAAAUUUCCAAGUACAAUGGCUGGGGAUUUAGCUCAGUGAUGUCACUGCCUGCCUUGCAUGUGCAAGAGCCUGAGUUCGAUCCCUGGUACCCAUCCCCCCAAAAUUUCCAAGUACCACACGUGUAAAAAAGUGCAAUUCAGUGUUUGUUGGCAGAUUCACAGAGCUGUGAACCAUGCCACAGUCAAUUUUACAUCUUAGCACCCCAGAACAGAUGCUGCAUCCUGCAGCCACCCAUGGCUCCCCAUAGGAGUGAAGGAAGCAGCAGUCCCCUCACUGGUAUGGCCAGGCCUGGCUCUAGCCCUCAGAGCUUUGUGCUUCCUGUUUGGUCGUCCUAACCCAAAGUAACAGCCCUCAAGUGCAUGCACUCCAUCCCAGCUCAUGGAGAUCCUCGUCGGGUGUGUGGCUGAUGCUCCCUUGAUCUCCAGGAACAAAGAGCCUAGGUGUGUGUGAGCCACAUGGGAAGCUGACUCGGGGCUGGACACGGGAUGGCAGCCACUCUGGGGUCCCCAACCCCUCUUGGCCUCCUAGUUCUGUCCUUCCUCCACUGGCCAGCAUUCUCUGGCUUCUAGAAGGUUCUGCCCUUCGCCACUUUCCUGAUCCUAACCCCAACUCUACAGUGCAUUCAGUUCCCUAAGGGAGGCCCAAGCUAACAGGAGAGCUGGCCUGUUCUUUUUGUGCCACAGGUCACAGGCUGUGUGUCACUGGCCACUCCAGCUGCAGUUACAGUGAACAGGGCCUCACACAGAUUGUGAGCACUGCUGGCUUUCUCUGUCAUGGUUCCUUGAGUGCUGUACUUGGGUUUUAAAGAGUUCCUCACAGGCUCAUUGUGCUGACAGCUGAUGGGCUUUGGGGAAGUGACAGGGUCAUGAAAGCCCAGACUUCAUCAAGAAGAUUUAUCCAUGAAUGAGUCCAUCUCUGAAUGGGGUGUUAGGCAGUGGGGCCCAGUGGAGGAAGGAGGUUCCUGGAAUUUGCCUUUGAAGGGCAUAUCUCGUCACGAGCCCCUCUCUGCGCCUCUCUCACUCUACUUCUGGGCCAUUGUGAGGUGAGGGCUUUCCUUCACCCUGUCCUCUGCCAUGGUGUUUCUGCCUCACUGCAGGCCUGGAAGAAACAGAGCCAAGUAACCAUGGGCUGAAACCCUAGACCAUGACCCCAAAUAAACUGUGCCUCCUGCAAGUUGUUCUUCUCAGAGAGCUAACACACCUAGGAAUCACCACGGUGUUACACGGAAAUGGCCCGGAGAAACAAACCAAAUGUUUAAAAUGUCUGGAUUUUUCAUGACAGCUCCGAUUUCAGACACUGUGUAAGACUGGAUAAACGGUGGUGUGUCUGUGCAAUGGACUGCUAUUCAGUCUUGAAAAGGAAAGCGAUUCCGGCACAUGCCACAGGGUGGAUGAACCUUGAGAACAUUCUGCUGUGAGCGAUAAGAUGGCAACAUCCCGUGUGUUCCUCUCAUCGAAGGUCUCUGGAACGGUUAGAGUCCUAGGCACAGAAAGCAGAAUGGGAGUUGCCAGGGAUUGAGGGGUGAGAACGGGGAGUAAGAGUUUAACAAUGGAAGACGCGAGUUUUGGUUUGAUCGGAUGGAAGAAUUAUGGAGGCGGAUGACAGUGAUGACUACACAACACGAUGCUCGUCUCGGUGGGAUGUUUGAAGGGAACUUUCUGUUUGUUUUGCAAGUGCUGAGGGUGGAACCCAGGGCCUCACACAUGCUAAGCAAGUGCUCUGCCACUAAGUUAUACACCCAGCCCUGGUUGUAUUUAUGGUGUAAUUACUACCAUUAAAUAAUCCAUUUUAAAACAGCUAAGAUGAAAAAAUGGCUAAGUCGGUAAAUGUGUUACCAUUCACGGGAGGGAUGGGGUAGAGAGGGAGCCGCAGAGGCAGCUCUCAUGCGGAGACAGUGACAGGGCUGUGGUGGAGGCACCUCUGCCCCAGGGAACCCACUGACUACCACUGAGCUGCUGCCCCAGGGAGGCCCUGUCAGCACCCACGGUCACUGCGCCACCCUACUGCUGCCUCGGCCCCUCGUGGCUCUGAUGGCCCCAAUCUCUGUUUCUUUGCUCACCCAUGAUGCUGAGAAUUCACACAGCUGCAACAGGUACUGUGCCUGCCUGCCUGGUUUGCGUGUGUGUGUGUGUGUGUGUGUGUGUUGAAGCCAAGUGGUGGUAGGGAAUGGUUGGAUGGCAAGAAGGUGUCCCAGUAAGCUGAAUGGAUCUGCAGGUGAGGCAAUGCCUGGGCCUCCUCUCAGCAGACCUGCAAGGGGAAGAUGCCUUGGCCGUGGUGCCCAGCAGAGAGGAUAGACCAGGCACAGCGCCAGGGAGCAGCACACCCACUUCUCUGAACCAGGGAACUUUAUGUUAAAUGAAGACUUACUUGGCUGGGAGGUAGCUCAGUGGGAGCAUGCACUAAGCUGUGGGUUCUAUCCUCAGCACCACCAAAAUAAUAAUAAUAAUGAUAAUAAUAAUAAUAAAGGGAAAAACAAUCUACAGAGGGAUGCUAUAAGUAAUUUUUUUUUUGUAGUAACAGGGAUCAAAUCCAAGGCUCAUGCAUAUUAGCUGAGUACUCUACCACUGA